GACGAACGCUGGCGGCGUGCUUAACACAUGCAAGUCGAACGGAAAGGCCCUGCUUGCAGGGUACUCGAGUGGCGAACGGGUGAGUAACACGUGGGUGAUCUGCCCUGCACUUCGGGAUAAGCCUGGGAAACUGGGUCUAAUACCGGAUAGGAGCCAUUUUUAGUGUGAUGGUUGGAAAGUUUUUUCGGUGUAGGAUGAGCUCGCGGCCUAUCAGCUUGUUGGUGGGGUAAUGGCCUACCAAGGCGGCGACGGGUAGCCGGCCUGAGAGGGUGGACGGCCACAUUGGGACUGAGAUACGGCCCAGACUCCUACGAGAGGCAGCAGGGGGGAAUAUUGCACAAUGGGCGCAAGCCUGAUGCAGCGACGCCGCGUGGGGGAUGACGGCCUUCGGGUUGGAAACUCCUUUCGCUAGGGACGAAGCUUUUUGUGACGGUACCUAGAGAAGAAGCACCGGCUAACUACGUG
rnacentral:rRNA from 1 species